AGUGAACGCUGGCGGUAGGCCUAACACAUGCAAGUCGAACGGCAGCACAGUAAGAGCUUGCUCUUACGGGUGGCGAGUGGCGGACGGGUGAGGAAUACAUCGGAAUCUACUUUUUCGUGGGGGAUAACGUAGGGAAACUUACGCUAAUACCGCAUACGACCUACGGGUGAAAGCAGGGGAUCUUCGGACCUUGCGCGAUUGAAUGAGCCGAUGUCGGAUUAGCUAGUUGGCGGGGUAAAGGCCCACCAAGGCGACGAUCCGUAGCUGGUCUGAGAGGAUGAUCGGCCACACUGGAACUGAGACACGGUCCAGACUCCUACGGGAGGCAGCAGUGGGGAAUAUUGGACAAUGGGCGCAAGCCUGAUCCAGCCAUACCGCGUGGGUGAAGAAGGCCUUCGGGUUGUAAAACCCUUUUGUUAGGAAAGAAAAGCAGCAGAUUAAUACCCCGCUGUUCUGACGGUACCCAAAGAAUAAGCACCGGCUAACUUCGUG
rnacentral:rRNA from 1 species